AGGGAGAGAUCAUCUCACCCAGCUGUUUGGUGAUCUCGUAUCCUGUAAUGAAAACAGCUAAAGAGAGAAGCUCUUGGUAUCAGAGGGUAUGCAGCAGCAUUAGGAGAACGAGCCUUCUGUCACCCUUCCCUUCCAUCCCCACUCAAGUCCUGAGUUGGGGUUUACUCCCAUGUGUUGGAAAGAAUGCAUCGGGGUCUGCUUCUGGAGAAUCUGUCCUAAAAGAGACACCAAAGCUAUUUUAGUUGAAGUAUUAAAGAAAAGAGUGAUCACACUGGAUGGGAAGACUUGGACAUGCUCAAGAAGAAUACUUGGGUUUCACACAGGCUUUCAAAGGCAUCCAAGCUGGUUAUUAUUGGAUGGAGUGUAUGUCAAGCAAAACCAAAUAUACCUUAAAUAUAAAGAGGAACUGAGAAGUUGUUCCAGAGAAAAUAUUGGUAAUCAAUAGAAAGAGAAAGGAAAAGACGGAGGAAGACGUAAUAUUUGACCUGGGCACUGAAGGGUGAGUAGGAAGUGAAGAUGUAGUGUAAAUACAUCUCAGACAAGGCUCCAGUAUGAAAAUAGAAAAGAGGCAUUAAUUAGAGAAGCAUCAGGAAGUGAUUGAUAUAGGGCCCUAAUUUCUCAUUCCAAGGGAAUCAAAGUGAAAACAAAGACACUGCAUUUUUGACAGGUGAUUAUUUAUUUUUGCCAUUCCACCAAACCUAAGGAAGCAGAAGCUUAAAAUGAGAUAGGAUAUAAACCACCAAUAGUUCCACAUUAGCAGUGGCGUCAAAAAUUUCAAAGAUUCUUCUAACACAGGUAUUUUUUCAGUAAAUAAUAGCACUUAAGGACCAGUAGAGUUGCUAAUAAGGGAAAUGUACCUAAUUCUCUGUUUUUAAGGGGAAGAGAGGGGAAAUAGAUGUACUGAUUUUUAACUGGUGCUCCACUUCAAGUCUGUAGCUCCAAUCUUUCAAUCUCCAGAGACAGUUUAUACACCUCCAGGGCCAUUUUUACAUCCUCUGGACUUGGGAGACACUGCAUGAGUUUCCUGCCUGCGAGUACUUGUUCACAGCCCGAGAGAACUUCCUAAAAGAGAUAAAAGGAUGGUUUGAGAGGCUUCUCUCCAAACUGUGAAGGUAUAAGAUUACUUCAGGAUGCCUAUUGAUGACAAUAAAAUUGGAGUAUCAAGACCCUCCUUAGGACUGAUGCAAGAAAUCAGAAGAUACUUUGUGCAUCUCAGCAAAGUAUUUGCCCUAAGAUCGAGACCAGCAUUGCUCUAAGGCAGCAAUGAAACUAAGCAGAGAAGGAACAGCACUGCAGAAGAUACCCGGGGAACUUCUUCAGGGUCAGCUGAAAGGAUGGAUCUGAUGUCUAUGCAAAAGCAUAGCACUUACUGUAAUAGAAAAUGUAGAGCUGGGAGCCAGGUUGCCUAUAUCUAUGGAACCUUCCUAUCUAGUGGCUUGGUCUUUCUUGCUAUAAAAUAAGAUAAUUAGAACUUGCUUUAAGAGCUCAACAUGUGCUUUGAGAGUAAAAGUGCUGAUUCUGAAAUUGAUUUAAACAACUCAGAAAUGAGUCCCAAUAAAAGUCAGAUCUCAUCAGUGUUGGCUGGAACAGUGCUCUGGAGCAGGUUACAAUUUUUACAAUGUGAUAGAAU